ACUUUAGAGGAUGGGAAGAUUGUGAGGGGUCUUUCUGGAAUUCCUUCAGAGGGACCAGUCUUAUUUGUUGGAUAUCACAUGUUAUUAGGACUUGAUGUCAUUCCAAUGAUACCACACUUUUUGAUCGAAAGGAAUAUCCUUCUGCGAGGCAUAGCACAUCCGAUGUUGUUCUAUAAGUCAAGAGAGGGAAAAUUACCAGACUUAGAUCAAUAUUAUACAGUCAGAUUAAUGGGUGCAGUUCCUGUCUCAGCAAUAAACUUCUUCAAACUAAUGUCUUCAAAGUCUUAUGUCCUAUUAUAUCCAGGAGGCAUUCGAGAAGCUGUUCAUCGCAAGGGUGAAGAAUACAAAUUAUUUUGACCAGAAGAGUCUGAGUUUGUCAGGAUGGCAGCUAGAUUUGGAGCCAAAAUUAUACCUUUUGGUACUAUUGGAGAAGACGAUCUCGCUCAAGUAGUUUUUGACUACAAUGACCUAAUGAAAAUUCCCUACUAUAAAUCUCAAAUAGAAGAAUUGACUGACGAGGCUGUGAAAGCAAGGUAUCA